AUUGAACGCUGGCGGCAGGCUUAACACAUGCAAGUCGAACGAGUGGCGGACGGGAGAGUAAUGCUUGGGAAUCUUGCUUAUGGAUGGGGAUAACUACGGGAAACUGUCGCUAAUACCGCGUACCAUAGGAUGAGCCCAAGUGGGAUUAGGUAGUGGGUGGGGUAAAGGCGCACCAAGCCGACGAUCUCUAGCUGGUCUGAGAGGAUGAACAGCCACACCGGGACUGAGACACGGCCCAGACUCCUACGGGAGGCAGCAGUGGGGAAUAUUGCGCAAUGGGGGCAACCUGACGCAGCCAUGCCGCGUGAAUGAAGAAGGCCUUCGGGUUGUAAAGUUCUUUCGGUGGCGAGGCGUUAACUACAGAAGAAGCACCGGCUAACUCCGUGCCAGCAGCCGCGGUAAUAC
rnacentral:rRNA from 1 species